CUUCUUUAUCAGUGGCAUUUAACCUUUUUAAAAUAAUACGCUGAUAUAGAAGUUUUAUGUAUAAUAUUGCGAAAUCAUAUAUUUAAAUGAAUAAUAUGGUGUACUCACAUUUGACAAGAAAUCUGAUCAAGGAUACAGCUUUCUCAAUUAAGACGAAGGAUCAUCAUUUGAUUGUUCGAUUCUUAGAGCAGACAGACCAUAAAAUGAUUUCACAAUGACAAGCAUAACCUGCAUUUGCUUGAUUAUUGUGAUAUCUGGACAGCUUGUAUAUGCAUCCUCGAAAGAAUGUGUAACGCAACAAGUCAAAGCGCUAUUUGCUUUGGAUGGGACCAUAAAUAUCAAUGAUGGCCAGAGAGAUUUAAUGCUUCGAUUGGUGGAAGAGGUUGUCACAAGUUUGCCUGAAGGUAGUGAAGGUGGAUGUGUUUACAUUAAUCAGGAAAGUAAGGAGAUAACACGAUUUACGAUUUCCGGUUCAAGACCCAAUAUGACAGAAGAGGCAGAGGGUGUUCAAUGGGACCCUACAGGAGAAACAAUGACUGCUAGAGCGCUCGCCAAAGAAGUAAAUGUGAGCUUUCCUGUUGCAUUUUUGCAGCGCAAAGCAGAGAUAUUUUACUUACUAGUCAGUGACAAAACUCUUAUUGAAAGUUUUCCAGAGGUCCUUUUGAAAAAGAAAAUUUUCAUUGUUGUUUUUUGAUCGGCCAUACCAGACAAGCUGAAGAAUUUAGCGAGCAGUACCGAACAUAUCAAACUCAUUCGCAACUUCAACGAUCUUAAAAGUGUUGUCGGAACGGUUACACAACGUACAUGCAGAGAUUCCUUCCUUAAAUGUGAUGUUGACGAGUACAUGGGUAAAAGGGCCAGCAAGUGCACAAGUUGUAUGAACGUUUGUUUGCAAACAACAUCUAAGCAAUCACGGGCCUGUAAACUUCACUGUCCCUACAUAUUGCUUCCACCAAGAGAAUAUGCAGUGAAGAUAGUGAAAGAUCCACUAAAAGAUGACAUUGUGACGGCAGUUGUAGAAGACAAUAAGUAUAUAACCCUUGUUGUGAUAAGUGCAUUCGCUUUCAUUAUUAUAUUCAACGUUGGAAUUGGAGUAGUGUGCUAUAGGAAGAAUUUGCUAUGUUUUCAUCGGAAUGCACGGCAAAUUAACCGGCACGAAAUAGAAAUGGAUAUAAUGCAAAGUUUUCCUCUUCCAGACAAUGUAGCAGUCCCUGAAACUGGAGGACAUGGGGAUAACGAACCGAUUCAACGUCAUGCCGAUGGCGCCACUCAACGUCUGCUUGACAAUUUACCAUCCGCAGAGGAAUAUGGUCAGGAUCGCGACGGACAGCAUGAGCCAAGAGAUUUUCUGAAAAAUGAAAAUGAAGAAGAAAUGAAUCAUCUAGCUUUGGGUGAGCCUCCGAUGAUAGAUGUACAGACUGGAAAAUGUUUCGGCACGAGACAGUCAGAAGACAUGAUUUAAGGACUGGGAACAGAAUGUCAGAACGGCACAGUUUAUAAAAUAUUUGUCUUAGUUUUCAAAUUAUGUAUCAAUUAUCGUCUAAAAUUAUAAGGAUUACCUGACUGAUUUUUGUGGUCAGUGGCAACAUACCUGAUUCAUGUUAAAGAAAAAGAAGUCACACCGUUUUAAAUAUUGGAUAAGUAUUUGAUUGUAAAAAUAGGCUUAUCUUUUUACAUAUUAAUAAAAGAUGCAAAGCCUAAAACAGCCAAAACGUAGACAUACAAAGAAAUAUGAAUGUGGUUGGUAAUGAACAAGGGUAUGACGUUUCCCAAAGAAAAAACAAAUCUGCCGAAACUAUGGUGGACAGUGGAGGAAGUACGGAAGGUGGUCGAACAAAUGAUGUAUAUUGCAGUUUCGCCGCGGAUGAACAUAAAACGCAAUGGACAAUGAACUUAACGUAUUGAGCUCUGUAGUGUAACUAAUCCUAAUGUAACAGGAAAUUGAAGAAAUUCUGACUAAGUAUUGUUUCAAUUGAAAUCAAUGCAAAAGGCGUACAAUUAAUUUAGUUGAGGACAGUUAAUAUCAAAAUGCCAAAGAUGAAAUAAAAAAAUGAUUACUUGGAACUUCAAAAAUGUGCUGGGGAGGCGUUCUCUGCAAGCUUUUACUAGUCAAUGUAGGAUAAGGAAAAUAUAUUAAGAUCAAGCAAGCGCUUUAAGCAGGUAUUGCAGUGGUUGCCGGAACCAACGUGAUGCACAUAACGUCAAGCAGCCUUGAUAAGAAUGAGUAGCAUUAGCAGUUAGGAAAUGAAAAAGUUCCGUGUACACCGCCGUAUGAACACAUCUGCGGAUGUCUCUAAUUGUGUUUUGGUACUUGUAACGUGUAAAGAUUUUGAGUUCUGCUCAACCUGGUGAUAGAGGACGCGGACGGUAGCAUGCAUUUCCACUACUUUACAUGAACAGGCUCAAUCACACCGAGCCUGAAAUAUUUUCAUUUUUGUCGUGUUGUGCGACCCGUGGAGUUUCCAGUUUUCUACUAAUAGUUGUGAAAUUUACAAAAUAGCUGUAUGAUUUCGUCGAUAUCUUCUCUCCAUAAUUAUGAUAAAACAUGUAUUUAUUCAAGACGCUAAGACAAAUGGUGGUCCAGGACAAGAGUUUAUCAGCUUUCGCUAUAGUUAGUCUGCAUGUAGUGUAGAGGAGACUAGUUCAUAAGUCAUCUUUAACAAUCAAAUUAUAGCGACCUUUUGACUUACUCUCUGCAUUUCUGUAAAUAUUAAACAAAAAUCACAAACACUA